AGAACAACGCACUGAACUUGACCAGAGAAUGGGACUUGAGCAUGCAAGUAAAGAGAGAGAGAGAGGAAAAAAGGAAAUACCACUCUUACUAAGCUCUUUCUUCCCAAAUCACCGACUGCGCGAGAAUCUCCUCUUCCUGUGCGGAAGUUUAUCGUGGUCGGCCCGCCUGUCACUGACGCCCCCCAAAGGAAAGUGACAGCGGCUUUAUUCACCCGCUGACCCGUAAAGAGGACAGCAGAAGAAAAACAAAACAAUCCUUCCAUCUCAAAGUUGAGGCCUUGCAGCCUUGAAGAUAGAUAGAUAAAAGGAUAGAGAGAUGAUGUCCAUCUGCUCUGAUGAUCUCUCUCCAACUUUGUUUGGCAUCAGCCUUUUCUCCAUCCCACUCUGGUACCAUCAGCCCCAGAGGACCCAGGCACUGGCCUUUUCUUGACCCAGUUUAGGACUUCAAUUCUGGGCUUUCUGAUCCAUCCUCUCUCCUCUCUGGUUGGGGGUUCAACAGAGAAUCCUGAGAUUAUCAGAUGGUCACUUAAGAGGGAACGAUAGAGAGUGAAGUGCUGUCCACUUAGCUGAAGAUUAUCCUUUAAAAAGAAGGGAUGGUGGUGGAGAUGGAGGAGAGAAGGAGAAAAAAGGAUGUGCUUAAGAGAUGGAUAUAGAGGGGGCGGAUGGAGGGAGAGAUUGCGAGGACAGUCGGAGUGAUAGAGAGAGGGCAAAUGAAUCACAUGGAGAUAAAGUGUGUGUGGGAGAGGGUUAACAAAAAAGCGAGGAGAGAAAUACGGCAACGAGGGAAACGUCUAAAUGAAAAGCUGAGAUGGAGGUGAGGUGACGGAGCGCGAGAGAGAGAGAGAGAGCGGAGAAAAGCCGACGGAUAGAUGGAGAGAUAAUGAGAGGAGGAAGCAGGAAGGAUGAGGACAAGAGCUGGAUUAAGCAGUAAAAACAGGGAUUGUGAAGUGUUCACUAACCAAACUGAGGACCUGUGGCUGUACUUUGUAUGGGAAAUGAGAUGUAUAUGCCCACUUGUAUUUGUCAAACAAACAGAAAAGUCUAGUGUUACAGUUUAAUUACAGACUGAAUGUUAGUGAAAUAUUUAUACGUGUUCUUCUUUCUAAUUUUAUGUUUUACAGAGUUUGUGGCCCAUUAUAUAUACUUUAAGGCACUUCAGGUUUGUCACUAAAAGAAUAAUUAUUUUCAGAGUUUUGCAAUCGUCUAUCAGUCAUGAUAACAUUUUACUCGCUAAAGUAUUUGCUGAGAUCUGAGAACACAGCGACAUCGCUACAAUAAAGUCUGAUGGGGCAAGAACCACAAACAGUUUAGUCCCAUUAUCAUAAAAAACUUUAUUUCAAACUACAUUCAUUGAUGUUUUGGCCAGCCAGUUGAAAUGGCAAAUGUGUUAGCAAACAAUGGCACAUCCAUCAGACAUGGAGCAACAUUGGAGUCGUGUGUUUGUGUCCACCUGACAAUUUGAAGUCCAAUAUUCACUCUCCUUUUACCUCUGCUUUUGGUCUCCAACAACUCCUGAAUCAUAUAUAUUGCUCUUUAGCUGCUAAAUGCUCCGCUAUGCUCACCAGCUGGUCGCUAACUUUGUGUUUCUGUCCUUUGGUGCUGGGCAGGUAGUGUACAGCCAGAUUUUAGAGAAACUGUGCCACCUACCAUACCAGACAAAGAUCCAUUUUCCAUUUAAAGUAUUACAGGAUGAUGACAAACAAUGUAGCAUUUAAAGUUUUUAAAACUUGUCGCAGUGCUCACUCCACCUAAAAACGCACCAGGGCUACAUUACAUCACUUACAGCAAACUUCACAGAGAACAAUGACGGCAAAACGGCAUCACCGAUCUGUUUUAGCCGAAUAUUCUCUGGUCUAGCUCUGCUGAAAACACAAAACCGAAUCCAUCAGCAUGUUAGCGUGUCGUUCACUGCCGAGCCUGUUUGUAACCGGUAGGCUGCCGACAAGUUAUCUUCACUUGUUAAACUGACUUUAGCGGUUUAGAUAACAGACACUCAACGGUCUUGCUGUUACAGACGUGAACUAACCACAGACCGUCGCCUCAUUAUGGACUCACAGAGGUGUGUUGCUGCAGUUGACGGUGGUGUACCGCUGCCGAAUGUAUGGGAACACUGGAAUGGAUGUAUUUUUGGCCUGGCGGGGGAUUCCCAUUGAAAAAUUAUAGGCGAAUAACUGGUUGAUGUAUUACUAUACUAAUGUUUUGCUGCUUCCUGUUGCUCUGCAUGGCUUCUGCUCUGUCUCUAGAAUGCUUAUUUUGUUGCUGUUGCUGUCUUUAUGGCAUCUUGUUGUCUUCUAUCUAUGGCAACACCUCAUUGGUUUCAAAAUUAGCCAGCUGGCUAACACUGGCACAUUUACAGACAUUAAUUAAGACAUUGGUUAAUGUGCGUUGUCCUAAACAAAGUAAAUAAAUAAAUGAAGUAAGCUAACUGUGAGGGGAUGUUUAGCAAAGUUUUGGGAAUACGUUUACUAUUCCCUUUAAAAUCCUAACACAUUCAAACUCCACCCAUUCAUGAAUUUAUGUUUGAGUGAAUGAACUGGGAGUAUGUGCGUUUGUGUUUUUUUUUUAGGGGGCUAUGAC